UAAUGGCUCACCAAGGCGACGAUCCCUAGCUGGUCUGAGAGGAUGAUCAGCCACACUGGAACUGAGACACGGUCCAGACUCCUACGGGAGGCAGCAGUGGGGAAUAUUGCACAAUGGGCGCAAGCCUGAUGCAGCCAUGCCGCGUGUGUGAAGAAGGCCUUCGGGUUGUAAAGCACUUUCAGUCGUGAGGAAGGUAGUGUAGUUAAUAGCUGCAUUACUUGACGUUAGCGACAGAAGAAGCACCGGCUAACUCCGUGCCAGCAGCCGCGGUAAUACGGAGGGUGCGAGCGUUAAUCGGAAUUACUGGGCGUAAAGCGCAUGCAGGUGGUUUGUUAAGUCAGAUGUGAAAGCCCGGGGCUCAACCUCGGAAUAGCAUUUGAAACUGGCAGACUAGAGUACUGUAGA
rnacentral:rRNA from 1 species